CCUACGGGCGGCAGCAGUGGGGAAUAUUGGACAAUGGGGGCAACCCUGAUCCAGCCAUGCCGCGUGUGUGAAGAAGGCCCUCGGGUUGUAAAGCACUUUCAGUGAGGAAGAACGCCUGGUGGUUAAUACCCAUCAGGAAAGACAUCACUCACAGAAGAAGCACCGGCUAACUCCGUGCCAGCAGCCGCGGUAAUACGGAGGGUGCGAGCGUUAAUCGGAAUUACUGGGCGUAAAGCGCGCGUAGGUGGCUUGAUAAGCCGGUUGUGAAAGCCCCGGGCUCAACCUGGGAACGGCAUCCGGAACUGUCAAGCUAGAGUGCAGGAGAGGAAGGUAGAAUUCCCGGUGUAGCGGUGAAAUGCGUAGAGAUCGGGAGGAAUACCAGUGGCGAAGGCGGCCUUCUGGACUGACACUGACACUGAGGUGCGAAAGCGUGGGUAGCAAACAGGAGUAGAUACCCCUGUAGUC
rnacentral:rRNA from 1 species